rnacentral:rRNA from 1 species
CCCUUAGAUGUCCUGGGCCGCACGCGCGUUACACUGAUGCAUUCAACGAGCCUAUAACCUUGGCCGAGGGGCCUGGGCAAUCUUGUUAACGUGCAUCGUGAUAGGGAUAGAUUAUUGAAAUUAUUAAUCUUGAACGAGGAAUUCCUAGUAAACGCAGAUCAUCAAUCUGCAUUGAUUACGUCCCUGCCCUUUGUACACACCGCCCGUCGCACCUACCGAUUGAGUGGUCCGGUGAGGCUUUGGGAUCUGAGCGGAAAGAGCGUUUCGCUGUUUCUGCUCGGAAAACUCAGUCGAACCUUAUCAUUUAGAGGAAGGAGAAGUCGUAACA